UACGUAGGGUGCAAGCGUUAAUCGGAAUUACUGGGCGUAAAGCGUGCGCAGGCGGUGAUGUAAGACAGGUGUGAAAUCCCCGGGCUCAACCUGGGAACUGCAUUUGUGACUGCAUCGCUGGAGUGCGGCAGAGGGGGAUGGAAUUCCGCGUGUAGCAGUGAAAUGCGUAGAUAUGCGGAGGAACACCGAUGGCGAAGGCAAUCCCCUGGGCCUGCACUGACGCUCAUGCACGAAAGCGUGGGGAGCAAACAGG
rnacentral:rRNA from 1 species